GAUGAACGCUGGCGGCGUGCCUAAUACAUGCAAGUCGAGCGAACAGACGAGGAGCUUGCUCCUCUGACGUUAGCGGCGGACGGGUGAGUAACACGUGGAUAACCUACCUAUAAGACUGGGAUAACUUCGGGAAACCGGAGCUAAUACCGGAUAAUAUAUUGAACCGCAUGGUUCAAUAGUGAAAGACGGUUUUGCUGUCACUUAUAGAUGGAUCCGCGCCGCAUUAGCUAGUUGGUAAGGUAACGGCUUACCAAGGCAACGAUGCGUAGCCGACCUGAACGGGUGAUCGGCCACACUGGAACUGAGACACGGUCCAGACUCUGACGGGAGGCAGCAGUCGGGACUCUUCCGCAAUGGGCGAGAGCCUGACGGUGCAACGCCGCGUGAGUGAUGAAGGUCUUCGGAUCGUAAAACUCUGUUAGUAGGGAAGAACAAAUGUGUAAGUAACUAUGCACGUCUUGACGGUACCUAAUCAGAAAGCCACGGCUAACUACGUG
rnacentral:rRNA from 1 species